CACGGGAUCCCGAGUAAGGGCGACUGAAGGGGAAAGACCAUCGCAUAACCUCGCGGUCUUUGACUGGCCGUCGAGGGGUGUUGCGUUAAGGUGGACCCGUUCCGGCCGGGCUGCUAACUGCCUAAGUCAUUGCCUGAGGGCAGCACCAUGGAGGGUGAGAGUCCCGUGUGGCGGCGCCUGUUAUCAGGCUGAUGCAGCUCCGGUGGGUUGGGUCUUCACCGUAGAGUCGGGUUGCUUAGUAGUGCAGCCCUAAGCAGGUGGUAAACUCCAUCUAAGUCUAAAUACUACCACGAGUCCGAUAGAUAACAAGUACCUUGAGGGAAAGCUGAAAAGAACCCUGAAGAGAGAGUUCAUAAGAAUGUGAGACUGUUGCAAGCAUAAACGGGUGGAACCGCGAAGAUCGAAAGCGCGGAGUCAGUCUGGCAGGCCACCGGCGUGCGGAGAUCAGGAUGUGUUAUCUGGCGACUAUUGUAAGUUGCCGAGGCCCCUGCUCCGCCUCCAGUGUGUGGCUGCGGGCUUAUUUCCGUUGUUAGUAGUGAGCGCCGUGAUCUGUUGCGGGGACUUCUUAGUGGCGCGCCGUACUGGUAGCCGUGGCCCUCGGGCUGCGGCGAAGGUUCGGCUGCGUUGCUCAGGGGGUCCUUACGUGCGACGCGAUGAACUGAGAUGGCGGUCCGAGAGGACCGCCUCACGGUGAGCGAGGUCAUCGGUUACCCACCCGA
rnacentral:rRNA from 1 species